UGGGCUCUCCUAACACACCUUAACAGAGGUAUAAUAAAGUGUUAUGUGAGCAGACGUUGAAUACUGACUGACCUGGAGCACAAGUGCUAGCAGUUUUAAGGAAGCUGAGCUUGUAUGUGCUGGAAGGAACUUUUGAAAUUCUCACCUAUAUUUUCCCAGUUGUGCCUAAAUCUUAUAAUUUGCCUCUGGAACUGAAUCAAACCACGGAGAGCAAUUUGGGCUCAUUGUGGUAAUGUACAAAUUGAUGUUGCCUGAGGACAGCAAAUGCUCCAACUGCCCAGAAAUUUAAGAAGCAUCUUACACUUGCUGUGAGAAGCUGAAGUGUGGAUUUUUAAGCUGUAGAGCUCGGCAAAUUUUGAAAAGGCUUGAAAAUCGGAUUGAUUGAGCCUCACACACAAGGCCAUUAUUCUUAUUAAAUUCAUUCAUUGUUUUCAAAAAAUAGAUUGUUAUGAGAACAGAGAAGUAAAGUGCUUUGACAAGAAGAAGGAACAGCAAGAACACACAUGGGAUGACUUCUGUAAAUCUGAAAAGAAUUAAUCUCUUGAAAAUAGGAGUCAGAUUCUUAGCUGUGGGAUAAAAAAUGCUGAAUUCCAUUGGCUUCAACAUAAUUGUGCUGUCAGAGCCAUCUACCACUGUGUCAUAGUCACAAAACACUCUUGUACUAUUGUCAUAGAUUCCUCAUUUUUCUAGUAUGGGCAAGGAGACUGAAGGGCCAGAUAUGACAAAAUCUGAAGACUGCAAUACAAAAAAUGCGUGUUACACAAAGCCAUGCAUGUCUCAUUGAUGUUCUACCUGCAGCACAUCCAGUGUGCCAGUGACUUCAACCUUUAUUUGAUUGAGAACUUAUGUCAAAGAAAUACCCACUAUCUAAUUGAGAAGUAUCAAUUCAUAUGGAUACCUACACUCAAGCAUCAAAUAUUGAACCUCUUGUUUACCAAAUUCAGUGCCUGAGUAAAGGCAAAUUUGGAUCUGAAUAAAAACCUCUUGCAUAUUUA